GGGGCUGUCGGCUAGCAUGGUCCAGGCUUGUAGACUUGGGCUCUAUAGACCCCGGUUCAAAUCCGGGCAGCCCCACCA
rnacentral:tRNA from 1 species